rnacentral:rRNA from 1 species
CAGUCGCCGCGGUAAUACGAGGGGGGCAAGCGUUGUUCGGAAUUAUUGGGCGUAAAGGGUGCGUAGGCGGCCCCGCAAGUUUCGUGUGAAAUCUUCGGGCUCAACUCGAAGUCUGCACGGAAAACUGCCGGGCUUGAGUAUGGGAGAGGUGAGUGGAAUUUCCGGUGUAGCGGUGAAAUGCGUAGAUAUCGGAAGGAACACCUGUGGCGAAAGCGGCUCACUGGACCAUUACUGACGCUGAGGCGCGAAAGCUAGGGGAGCAAACAGGAUUAGAUACCCCGGUAGUCCCUGUCUCUUAUAC